GCCGGAGUGGCGGAACGGUAGACGCAGAAGACUUAAAAUCUUCCGCCGAAAGGCGUGUGGGUUCGAAUCCCACCUCCGGCA
rnacentral:tRNA from 1 species